rnacentral:piRNA from 1 species
CUAGGGAUCUUAAUUGAGUUCCGAUGUGGUGA